CAACAUCUCUCUGUUUAAACGCAGUGUUUUAACGUCCCGAUGCAAGAGGCUGACACAUCGCGACCACGGCCGUCGAAGUCUCUGAUGAAUCGAAUGAAGACGAGCUGUUUAUCCAUGGCAGUGACGUUUAAGGAGGGGCUUAGCUACGUCAAAGCCUUUUUUGUCGGCCAGGUACGUUUUCAAAAUUGUCAUUUAUCAUUCGUUAAGUUUUCUUGAGCUUCCGUGUAGUGUGUGGUUUAAGCCGCGAGAAGAUAUGAUAAAGAGAUUGAUCUUAGGAAUAUCCUGUCCGGUUUUAACACGGUUCAGAGACUCAUGACAAAGAGGUUGACGGCCAAGAACGAGAAAGAAGCAACGGAUGCUCAUCUAACAGAGACAAAAAUGCAAGUUGACGCAACCGAUGAAGCAGAGAACGCCAAGAAAAGGCUUCAUCAAUCUUCUUAAUGUUUUUUUUUUUGUAAUUAAUUGUGUUUUUACUGAUUCUAAGGGAAUGUUCUUAACUCUAAGAAGAAAUUAAAAAGCAAAUCUUAUUGAUAUU